rnacentral:lncRNA from 1 species
UUUCUCCCAAGCAUUCAUCUUCAUUUCCAAGUGAAUGAAAGGGGAGUUCAGUGGUACCACUGUCUGUGAGGCAGUGUUAAUAGUUCAGCCAGGAAAACAACUGGACAAAUGACUGGAGGGAUGUGAAAAUCUAACAUAAAGAAAGGCUUUUAAUAUGUCAAUGUGGAGUACUCAGAGGUUUGUGGGAACUAAUUUAUUUUUAUGGUGAGAAUAAAAAUACCCACAAAUAUAAACAAAUAUAUACAUGCGUUCUUACUGGAUUAAUACAAUUGGUUGGUCAAGAAGCAGCCAUUGGGGCCUGGAGAGAUGGCAAGGCCCACAGGAGGAUCUGAGGUAGAAUUCCAAGCAUCUAUGUAAAAUUCCAGCAGUGGGAUAAUUUCCUGAUACAGAAGCCAGGGAACAUAUAUUUAAUUUAAACAAAGAAGCAGAUACCCGGGGUUUUGAAAGUCCGGAGUAACAUUUACAUUAAUGGAAAGUACUACUUGAACAUGGAAGCACUAACGUGUGGGUAAGGAAUAGUCAAGAUGUCUGCCAAGAGAGAUUCUAGCUGCUUUGGGAAGGUAAGCAACAUCAAAGAAAAGUGGGAAAGUUCAUUUCGUGGCUGGGAAGAUCACUCAGUGGUGGAGUGUUUGCAUAUGUGUGAAAGGUGGGCAUGGUGCAUAUGUCUGAACACCAGUGCUGAG